rnacentral:rRNA from 1 species
GACGAACGCUGGCGGCGUGCUUAACACAUGCAAGUCGAACGGAAAGGCCCUGCUUUUGUGUGGUGCUCGAGUGGCGAACGGGUGAGUAACACGUGAGUAACCUGCCCUUGACUUUGGGAUAACUUCAGGAAACUGGGGCUAAUACCGGAUAGGAGCUCCUGCUGCAUGUUGUGGGUUGGUAAGUUUCGGCGUUUGGGGAUGUACUCGCGGCUUAUCAGCUUGUUGGUGGGGUAGUGGCUUACCAAGGCUUUGACGGGUAGCCGGCCUGAGAGGGUGACCGGCCACAAUGGGACUGCGGGACGGCCCAGGAUCCUACGGGAGGCAACAGUGGGGAAUAUUGCACAAUGGGGCGAAGCCUGAUGCAGCAACGCCGGGUGCGGGAAGACGGCCUUCGGGUUGUAAACCGCUUUCGACUGUGACGAAGCGUUAGUGACGGUAAUGGGUAAAAAAGCCACGGCUAACUACGUG